AGCGAACGCUGGCGGCAGGCUUAACACAUGCAAGUCGAACGGGCAUAGCAAUAUGUCAGUGGCAGACGGGUGAGUAACGCGUGGGAACGUACCUUUUGGCUCGGAACAACACAGGGAAACUUGUGCUAAUACCGGAUAAGCCCUUACGGGGAAAGAUUUAUCGCCGAAAGAUCGGCCCGCGUCUGAUUAGCUAGUUGGUAGGGUAAUGGCCUACCAAGGCGACGAUCAGUAGCUGGUCUGAGAGGAUGAUCAGCCACAUUGGGACUGAGACACGGCCCAAACUCCUACGGGAGGCAGCAGUGGGGAAUAUUGGACAAUGGGCGAAAGCCUGAUCCAGCCAUGCCGCGUGAGUGAUGAAGGCCCUAGGGUUGUAAAGCUCUUUUGUGCGGGAAGAUAAUGACGGUACCGCAAGAAUAAGCCCCGGCUAACUUCGUG
rnacentral:rRNA from 1 species